rnacentral:lncRNA from 1 species
GCUGUUAUAACAGUUUUACACUCUGCAGAGGUUGUGCACUUUCACCGUGAGUCGUGUUGCCCAUAUGCCCGGGGUCCGUCGACCCCCAAACACUACCAAGGUGAGCGGGCAGGGUACACUAUGAAGCCUUCCAUAGGCCUAUUCUAACCAGUUAGGGCCGCGAGGUUUCCUCGGCAGGUAGAUGUAGAAAACCCCCCUUUUCUAUGGCACAUUUCCAUCGCGGCUAUACUCAUAGAAACAGGGGCAGCCCUACACCCAAAGUGGCAAGCCCCUCUUGCGCCCUUUCGGGUAACCUCUAACGAGUUAGAAAAGGUCCUAUUACUGAGCUAAAGUCAGAGCCAUGUGACUCUCCCGGUUGCACUGUAAGUCCCAGCUUUUGCCGACAGAUAAGUCCUUACGGAGGGUCUAGGACAACAUGACCAACAGUCAUUUAUACCAUAGCCCUAUGUUCCAUUUAUCAUAAUCAUGUUUAAUCAAUUAACCAUGGUUCCAUCACUGAUUUCAGAUCAUAUAUAUUUGGAGUUAGAGCACUAGCACUUCUACCCAUAUGCAAUAAAAACCCUCGAAAACAAGGUAAUUGUCAUCAACAACUAGGAUGUCCUUAUAGUUUGCAAUAUUAUACACAUGCAGGGUGAAAUGCUUAAAAAUGAGUAGGACAACAUGGUAGGCCCAUGCUAUACUUGCCUUGGUUCACGUACUCCUGCUGGUCUUGCUGGUCCUGCUGAUCCCCAAAGAGCUUCGGACUCCCGAAAUACUCCUCACCGUCUGGGCUCGAUCAAUACAUCACAAUCAUCACGCAUACCAAGACAAACAUGCAAGAGAACAAUUCCUAAAGUUAGAACAGUACACCAGCAGUAAAUAAAUUAAAUAAAAGUUUUCCAAAAUCAUCUACGUGCUGCUACGAUCAAGUCAACGUGAAAUUCACGGAAAACGGACUUACGACGCGAAAGUUACGCUUUUAACGGGAUUUCAACAACAAUCUACGGACUUGUAAUUAACUAGGAAAUCUAACAGUGGUAAACCUAAACAACAGUGGUACCAACGCGAAGCUUACAAAAUUACGAAACUAACGCAACUUGAACGGAUUGAUUCGGAGUUCAAACGGCGAUUUUAUAGCUAAAACAAUGUGGUGGCAAUUCUGUAAAUAAAACAGAGUCUAAACGAAUUUAAAUAAACGAAAUAAAUGCUGGAAAUUCCUCUGGCCGAGGACUGCGGUGCAAAUACAAAAAUUUUGGGGACUCUUUAACAAGAUAUCAUAUGAAGGGGUAUUUCUGGAUGUGUGGAUCAAGUUUGAACGCACCAUAUUAAAAGAAAAAAAGAAAAAAAAUAAAAAAAGAGAGAGAGUGUGGAAGGGGACGGCGCACAGUCCACCACCGGCCAGAACACGGUGGCCACCAUGGCCGGCCGCCUCAAGCUCGUCGGAAUUGAGCGGAGGAGGUGCUACGGUGCACGGUUUUCGAUUCCGAUUGAACUGGAAGAAAGAGGAGAGCGAUGCGAGUCCAUUCCACCCCAUAAACGCGGUCGAGGAGGCGGUUUUCGAGAAGGUUCACGGCGAUGACAUGAACUUCCCCGUCGGAGCUCGUGGAACUCGAACUCCGAGCCACGAUUGACCAAACUGAGCACACAGGGAGGAAGAGGGAGGCAAGGCGAACUCGCUAGAACACUUGGCGCGGCUGUGGAAGGUCCUACGCGGCACGCGCCAUGGCCGGCGGCCAUGGAGCUCGCCGGAGCUCCGCGGACAGCACUGAGGAGUGCGCCGUUUCGCGAAAAAAUAGACGGGGAGGAAGCGGGAGAGGAGAGGAAGCUCACCACGGCGCCAAAUCGCAGCGAAAACGGCUCGGAACGGCGGCCUACGCGCGGCCGACGAAGAACUUCCGGCGGCGGUUUUCUCUGCGCUUUCACGGAUGGGAGCAGAAGCGAGGAGGGAGAAAAAUGGGG